rnacentral:lncRNA from 1 species
CUCGGGGAGGGUGGGCAGCUGCGCCCCGGACUUGCCCCAGCCGGGAGCGGGCACCAGUCCCGCCUGCCCGCGCUGGGACUCGCCCUGAGAGGCGUUUCCUGGGGGCGGCGGCCUCUUCCCCCGCCUUUGGCCGGUGCUAUCGCACCUGAGACGGGCGGCUCUGGCGGUGCAAGCUCCGAUCAGGCGACCAGCCUCCCUCGGGGAGGGGGAAGCGGAGGCGCCGCUCGCAGAAUUGUAGCAGGGAAAGCAGCAGCAGCAGCGGCGCUUGGGAACUUUUCUACGGGGUGUUCGCAACUUGUCUGAAAUUCGGCUGGGGCUCGGGAGCGGGUGGGCUCCUCGGAUCCCCCUCUCGGGUCUGGGCUGCCGGUGGCCCAGGCUGCUUCAUUGCAGCCCCGCCGAGCAGAGCAGCGAGGGCGAACCCCAGAGUUCCUCCAGAAGUACUGAAGAUAGGAUCCAACUGCCGAGUGUGCAACUUCAGGAAUAAUCUUUUUCCCCACUCCAAACUACUAGCCACAGCAACUUGCUAUUUCACAUUACCAUAUGAAAAUCGCAUCCACUUCAUUGUGGAUACUUCUGUCACAGAUCAUAGAUGCAGAGAAUCUUCUCCUAAUGGCCAAGCAGUGUGGUGUUCCCUGGUUGAGUGUGCAUCUUACAUAAAUUAUAAAGGAAGCUGAAAUAGGAAGAAUUGGGCCCAACAAAAACUGAAGACAGGUGGAGACUGCUGUGGCCAGUUCCUUUCACUGGCAGCAGAGCUCUCAGAGGAGGACAAAGCCUUUUUUGGCAGCAGAAGUACUUGGUGAAAGUUAUGAAAACAUCAGGCUCCUGACUACCUAAUCAAACAUGUAAGUAUGUGCUAUCUAUGAACUGGCACUGCACUUCAACCUGACCUGAAUUCUGACUAUUCUUAGCUGUCUCUGUCUCCCUCGUCUUACUGCGUAUACUCAGUCUGCAGGUGGGAGUGGGGGUGGCUGGGUGACUGUUCUUGUGGGCAUACUUUGAAAUGCUAAAAUGGAACUUUGACGUUAAAAGUUGUGUACAGUACCUACAGCCUUAGUUCAGUACUGCUUCCUCUCUCUCGGUUUAUUAUUCUAAUCCUAGAUAUUGUAUUUUCAUUAUUGUUAGCUUACUCCUAAAAGGUUCCCUCAUGUAGAAUUACUGGAUGUAGUUACUUACAAAUACCAAUACAAAGCUUAUAAAAUGAAAGUGAUGUUUAUUUUAUUUGCCUUGGGCAGUUUCUUGGCCUACUUGCUCAACCUGUGAGUGGAUCUUUCCCACCAGCUUUUUCCAGACUCUGCUCACUCUCCAUGUAAUUGUCCCUUUUUACCUUUACUGUUUUUCAGUUGACUAGAAUAUCUGAAAACACCUGUUGCUAAUCUAAAGCAAUAACUGGUGUUUCUGGUCAGUAGCGUAGCUAGGCGAGAAGCAGGGGGAGCAGUCACUCCCCAUGAGGACAUUCUCCAAAAGUGGCACCUUAGGUGCCGACUCCCUGGGUGCUCUGGGGCUGGAUCACCCACAGGGAAAAUUUUGUGAGUGCUCAGCUCUCCACCCUGUCCUGCCCCGGCCCCAGCUCACCUUCCCUCCACCGCCCUCCCCCGACUUCCCACGAAUCAGCUGUUCGUGUGGGAAGCCUGGGAGGGCGGAGAAGCGGUGCAGAGGCUUCGUGGUCAGGCCCAGGGAGAAGGCACACUAGGGUGGGGA